rnacentral:misc_RNA from 1 species
AACGCACAUUGCGCCUCCCGGCAUUCCGGGAGGCAUGCCUGUUCGAGCGUCAUCAAUACCACUCAAGCUUGUGUUUAUUCAUGACUUGGUAUUGGAACUGGAGUGGACAUGAGCCAUUCCUAUCCGAAUUCCAGUGGCAAAGUUGUCGUCACCUAUAAGCGUAGUAAUCAACAUUAUGUUUCGCUUUGGAGCAGACAAUCUUCCGCCGUUAACCACCCCCAUCCAAAAUUUAAGUGUUUGACCUCGGAUCAGGUAGGGAUACCCGCUGAACUUAA